GGAGGGGUACCCAAGCGGUCAACGGGAACAGACUGUAAAUCUGUCGGCUCAGCCUUCGGAGGUUCGAAUCCUCCCCCCUCCACCA
rnacentral:tRNA from 1 species